rnacentral:rRNA from 1 species
UACGUAGGGUGCAAGCGUUGUCCGGAAUUAUUGGGCGUAAAGAGCUCGUAGGCGGUCUGUCGCGUCUGCUGUGAAAACUCAGGGCUUAACCCUGAGCUUGCAGUGGGUACGGGCAGACUAGAGUGUGGUAGGGGAGACUGGAAUUCCUGGUGUAGCGGUGAAAUGCGCAGAUAUCAGGAGGAACACCGGUGGCGAAGGCGGGUCUCUGGGCCGUAACUGACGCUGAGGAGCGAAAGCGUGGGGAGCGAACAGG